rnacentral:rRNA from 1 species
AUAUUCCUGUACUUGGUGUUACUGCGAAGGGGGGACGGAGAAGGCUAUGUUGGCCGGGCGACGGUUGUCCCGGUUUAAGCGUGUAGGCUGGUUUUCCAGGCAAAUCCGGAAAACUAAGGCUGAGGCGUGAUGACGAGGCACUACGGUGCUGAAGCAACAAAUGCCCUGCUUCCAGGAAAAGCCUCUAAGCAUCAGGUAACAUCAAAUCGUACCCCAAACCGACACAGGUGGUCAGGUAGAGAAUACCAAGGCGCUUGAGAGAACUCGGGUGAAGGAACUAGGCAAAAUGGUGCCGUAACUUCGGGAGAAGGCACGCUGAUAUGUAGGUGAAGUCCCUCGCGGAUGGAGCUGAAAUCAGUCGAAGAUACCAGCUGGCUGCAACUGUUUAUUAAAAACACAGCACUGUGCAAACACGAAAGUGGACGUAUACGGUGUGACGCCUGCCCGGUGCCGGAAGGUUAAUUGAUGGGGUCAGCGCAAGCGAAGCUCUUGAUCGAAGCCCCGGUAAACGGCGGCCGUAACUAUAACGGUCCUAAGGUAGCGAAAUUCCUUGUCGGGUAAGUUCCGACCUGCACGAAUGGCGUAAUGAUGGCCAGGCUGUCUCCACCCGAGACUCAGUGAAAUUGAACUCGCUGUGAAGAUGCAGUGUACCCGCGGCAAGACGGAAAGACCCCGUGAACCUUUACUAUAGCUUGACACUGAACAUUGAGCCUUGAUGUGUAGGAUAGGUGGGAGGCUUUGAAGUGUGGACGCCAGUCUGCAUGGAGCCGACCUUGAAAUACCACCCUUUAAUGUUUGAUGUUCUAACGUUGACCCGUAAUCCGGGUUGCGGACAGUGUCUGGUGGGUAGUUUGACUGGGGCGGUCUCCUCCUAAAGAGUAACGGAGGAGCACGAAGGUUGGCUAAUCCUGGUCGGACAUCAGGAGGUUAGUGCAAUGGCAUAAGCCAGCUUGACUGCGAGCGUGACGGCGCGAGCAGGUGCGAAAGCAGGUCAUAGUGAUCCGGUGGUUCUGAAUGGAAGGGCCAUCGCUCAACGGAUAAAAGGUACUCCGGGGAUAACAGGCUGAUACCGCCCAAGAGUUCAUAUCGACGGCGGUGUUUGGCACCUCGAUGUCGGCUCAUCACAUCCUGGGGCUGAAGUAGGUCCCAAGGGUAUGGCUGUUCGCCAUUUAAAGUGGUACGCGAGCUGGGUUUAGAACGUCGUGAGACAGUUCGGUCCCUAUCUGCCGUGGGCGCUGGAGAACUGAGGGGGGCUGCUCCUAGUACGAGAGGACCGGAGUGGACGCAUCACUGGUGUUCGGGUUGUCAUGCCAAUGGCACUGCCCGGUAGCUAAAUGCGGAAGAGAUAAGUGCUGAAAGCAUCUAAGCACGAAACUUGCCCCGAGAUGAGUUCUCCCUGACUCCUUGAGAGUCCUGAAGGAACGUUGAAG